CCUACGGGAGGCAGCAGUGAGGAAUAUUGGUCAAUGGACGAGAGUCUGAACCAGCCAAGUAGCGUGAAGGAUGACUGCCCUAUGGGUUGUAAACUUCUUUUAUAUGGGAAUAAAAUGUUCCACGUGUGGGAUUUUGUAUGUACCCUAUGAAUAAGGAUCGGCUAACUCCGUGCCAGCAGCCGCGGUAAUACGGAGGAUCCGAGCGUUAUCCGGAUUUAUUGGGUUUAAAGGGAGCGUAGGUGGAUGGUUAAGUCAGUUGUGAAAGUUUGCGGCUCAACCGUAAAAUUGCAGUUGAAACUGGCAGGCUUGAGUACAGUAGAGGUAGGCGGAAUGCGUGGUGUAGCGGUGAAAUGCUUAGAUAUCACGAAGAACUCCGAUUGCGAAGGCAGCUCACUGGAGUGCAACUGACACUGAGGCUCGAAAGUGUGGGUAUCAAACAGGAUUAGAUACCCUUGUAGUC
rnacentral:rRNA from 1 species